CUUGGUGCACCUAAAUAUUUAAAGCAAAUAUUCACUUAAAUGAGGGGAGAAGUAGACAGCAAUACAAUAGUAAUAGGGGAAUACAAUACCCCACUUUCAACAUUGAAUAUGAAUAGAUUAUCCAGACAGAAAAUCAAUAAGGAAAUAGAAGACUUGAAUAAAACUAUAGACCAAAUGGAGGACAUUAUGCUAAGUGAAAUAAGUCAGAGAAAGAAAAAUACCAUAUGAUCUCACUUGUAUGAGGAAUAUUAAAAAGCUGAACUUCUCCACACAAAGACUAGAUUGGUAGUUGCUAGGGCCUGUGGAGGUGGCGAAAGUGAGGACAUACUGGUCAAAGAGUAAAAUCUCUCAUUUAGAAGAUGAAUAAAUUCUGAGGAUCUAAUAUAUAGCAUAUUGACUGUAGUUAACAAUGCUGUAUUGUAUACUUGAAAGUUGCUAAGAGACUAAAUCUUAAAUAUUCUCACAAAAAAUGUAACUGUGAGUUGAUGGAUCACAAUAUAUACAUACAUCAAAUAAUCAUGUACACCUCAAAGUUUCACCAUGUUACAGGUCAAUCAUAUCUCAGUAAAGCUGAAAAAAAAUGAUUUAUGAGAACAGCUCCAGACAAUAGACAUAAACACAAGUGAUUAGAAGGAGGAGUAAAAUUGAGCCACCACAUUGUCUAAAAAAGAAGAGAAAGUAAAUGAAGUGAAAUGAGAAUUCUUUUUUUACUUACCACAUCCAAAGCAUUUGUUUACAUGGGUCAAAUAAAAUCUAUAAUGGCUGAUUUUGGACAGAUAGAUAGAUUGAUCUAGUUGUCUAAAUCUAAAUCGCUCUAUAUAUUGUUCACAUUCUUUAAACAAAUAUUUUCAAUAUUUAUUAUAGCCAGAACCUGAAGGCACAAAGAUGGAACUUCCCUCAAAGUUAUUUACUAUCUACUGUGGAAAAGAGAGAUGCAUGAAAUUAACUAUCAUGUUGAACCAUAUGAAAUUCUAAAUUUUUGAGUUUAUAAAACUGUGAAUAG